rnacentral:rRNA from 1 species
CAUUGCCGAGCAGUAACAGGUACGUGGAACCGAUGAGGUGGAACGGACAGAGUCGGCGUAUCUAGCCUGUAUUCAACUGGAGACCCAAGCACAUUGGGUAGGCCUUUUCCAGAUUGGACAGGCAAUCCAACUGUUUGGGAGUCUACAGUGCAUUUGCAAGUGGAGUGCGCUGAGGUGGUCGGGUUAGCUGCGUGAUCUCGGGUUUGAGGCCAGCCCCUCGGGGUAUGGUACCCGGCUCGGGGGAGUGCUGUUUAGCCUGUUCAACUUGUAUGGAAAUGGUAUCGGGA